rnacentral:rRNA from 1 species
GGACGAACGCUGGCGGCGUGCCUAACACAUGCAAGUCGAGCGAUGAAGUUUCUUCGGGAACGGAUUAGCGGCGGACGGGUGAGUAACACGUGGGCAACCUGCCCCAUAGAGGGGAAUAGCCUUCCGAAAGGAAGAUUAAUACCGCAUAAGAUUGUAGCUUCGCAUGAAGUAGCAAUUAAAGGAGCAAUCCGCUAUAAGAUGGGCCCGCGGCGCAUUAGCUAGUUGGUGAGGUAACGGCUCACCAAGGCGACGAUGCGUAGCCGACCUGAGAGGGUGAUCGGCCACAUUGGGACUGAGACGCGGCCCAGACUCCUACGGGAGGCAGCAGUGGGGAAUAUUGCACAAUGGGGGAAACCCUGAUGCAGCAACGCCGCGUGAGUGAUGACGGCCUUCGGGUUGUAAAGCUCUGUCUUUGGGGACGAUAAUGACGGUACCUGAGGAGGAAGCCACGGCUA